rnacentral:piRNA from 1 species
UCUCCCAGCCACCCUGGUCCUUUCUCCUGU